AUUUUUAGCAUGAUACUUCUUUGCAGAUACAAAUGAGUAAUUAUCAAUUGAUAUUUAACAUCACAUUUGGUAGUGGAAGAUUUAGUAAAAUAAGUACUGCCAGGUUAGAGUUUGGUGCCAGGGUCGUUGCUGGGUGCGUGGCUACUGCUCCUUCGGAUUCGGUUACUGUCUCAGGUGGCAUAUUUGCUGACUAACCUCUUACUGAUAAAUGACAAUGCCUUCUUCAUGCACGACUCUACAUGGUCGAUUGACGUCGAGAAUCAUUUGCUUCAGCCCUGAUGACCAGUUAUCUAGAUGGCAAGAUGUUUCGAUGAAGUUUAUAUUGCUAUGCCAUAUUAAAAUAGUGCUCUUAGAUUGGCUCAAACUACUAUACUAUGUCCUGCUUGUGUUAUGUCGUACUAAACCAUCUCGAUUCUCUUGGUAGUUUCGGCUGCAUUUUCUACCACUCCCCAAACUAAUUUAAAGGAAACAUACAUGAGUUGC